UAUACAUGCAAGUCGAGGGGUAACAGAGAGUGCUUGCACUCUGCUGACGACCGGCGCACGGGUGCGUAACGCGUAUGCAACCUACCUUUUACAGAGGGAUACCCAAGAGAAAUUUUGAAUAAUACCUCAUAAGCUCUAUAUAUAUCAUUAUUAAUAGAGGAAAACUUCGGUGGUAAAAGAUGGGCAUGCGUCCUAUUAGUUAGUUGGUAAGGUAACGGCUUACCAAGACUACGAUAGGUAGGGGUCCUGAGAGGGAGAUCCCCCACACUGGUACUGAGACACGGACCAGACUUCUACGGAAGGCAGCAGUAAGGAAUAUUGGACAAUGGAGGAAACUCUGAUCCAGCCAUGCAGCGUGCAGGAAGAAUGCCCUAUGGGUUGUAAACUGCUUUUAUACAGGAAGAAACUUUUCCACGUGUGGAAAACUGACGGUACUGUACGAAUAAGGAUCGGCUAACUCCGUGCCAGCAGCCGCGGUAAUACGGAGGAUCCAAGCGUUAUCCGGAAUUAUUGGGUUUAAAGGGUCCGCAGGCGGUUUAUUAAGUCAGAGGUGAAAUCCUACCGCUCAACGGUAGAAUUGCCUUUGGUACUGAUAGACUUGAGUUAUUGUGAAGUAGUUAGAAUGUGUGGUGUAGCGGUGAAAUGCAUAGAUAUUACACAGAAUACCAAUUGCGAAGGCAGAUUACUAACAAUACACUGACGCUGAGGGACGAAGCGUGGGUAGCGAACAGGAUUAGAUACCCUGGUAGUCCACGCCGUAAACGAUGGUCACUAGCUGUUUGAUC
rnacentral:rRNA from 1 species